GAUGAACGCUGGCGGCGUGCCUAAUACAUGCAAGUCGAGCGAACGGAUGAGAAGCUUGCUUCUCUGAUGUUAGCGGCGGACGGGUGGGUAACACGUGGAUAACCUACCUAUAAGACUGGGAUAACUUCGGGAAACCGGAGCUAAUACCGGAUAAUAUUUUGAACCGCAUGGUUCAAAAGUGAAAGACGGUCUUGCUGUCACUUAUAGAUGGAUCCGCGCUGCAUUAGCUAGUUGGUAAGGUAACGGCUUACCAAGGCAACGAUGCAUAGCCGACCUGAGAGGGUGAUCGGCCACACUGGAACUGAGACACGGUCCAGACUCCUACGGGAGGCAGCAGUAGGGAAUCUUCCGCAAUGGGCGAAAGCCUGACGGAGCAACGCCGCGUGAGUGAUGAAGGUCUUCGGAUCGUAAAACUCUGUUAUUAGGGAAGAACAUAUGUGUAAGUAACUGUGCACAUCUUGACGGUACCUAAUCAGAAAGCCACGGCUAACUACGUG
rnacentral:rRNA from 1 species